CCUACGGGUGGCUGCAGUGAGGAAUAUUGGUCAAUGGACGAGAGUCUGAACCAGCCAAGCCGCGUGAAGGAUGAAGGCCCUAUGGGUUGUAAACUUCUUUUGUCAGGGAAUAAAAAAUGGUAUGCAUACCCUGAUGUAUGUACCUUAUGAAUAAGGAUCGGCUAACUCCGUGCCAGCAGCCGCGGUAAUACGGAGGAUGCGAGCGUUAUCCGGCUUUAUUGGGGUUAACGGGAGCGUAGGUGGAUUGUUAAGUCAGAUGUGAAAGGUUGCGGCUCAACCGCAGAAUUGCAUUUGAAACUGGCAGUCGUGAGUACAGUAGAGGUGUGCGGAAUGCGUGGUGUAGCGGUGAAAUGCUUAGAUAUCGCGAAGAACUCCGAGUGCGAAGGCAGCUCACUGGACUCCAACUGACGCUGAGGCACGAAAGUGUGGGUAUCAAACAGGAUUAGAUACCCGUGUAGUC
rnacentral:rRNA from 1 species